GUCCGGUUCUCGGGUUGGUCCAGGCCACUUACUCUCGUGGGCCCCGCCCCUUCUUCGGGGUCCCGCCCCUUCCUUAACUACCCUCCCCCCCCCCCCCCCCCCUGCAGUGAGGCCCACCCCUCCCUUAGCUGUCCCUGGGCAAGCCAGUUCCUCGAGACUGGCCCCGCCUCUGACCCUUUCUCCCUUUCCUUCCUAACCAAUCCCGACGGAUAGCUCCUCCCCUUCCCCUCGGACAGCCUAUGUGGCGCUCUUCAGGAACCACCCACCUCCCAGCUGAGCGCACACAACACAGCAGCCACUGAAGACAACCUCCGAGCUGUCGCUCUAAGCCUCACGAAUCUGCCCCGAGCUUCCAUGACCGACCCAUCCCGGAAAGGUGUCCGUGCUGCCCACGCUGCGUUCACACCGCCAGAGUAGAAGCCAGUCCGUAUUUUUCCUGCUUCCCGUAUUAAAAUUUACUCAGUGGCUGCCACACAGUAGGAGUUCAGUAAAUGCUUGUAGAAGUAACUGAGCACCAUCCAGAGCGUCCAACUUUGAGCCAUAUGUAUUGUUCAGUAAAUAUUUCCCAGGGCUUCGCUAGGCAUUUGAUUUGCUGAUGAUGGCCAUUUAUUUAGCGUGAAGGGUUGCGGGUUUCUCUCUUUCACAAGAGGAUUACAUCUUGCAAAGAAAUGUCCUGGAGCAAGGACUGACGGCUUUUUUGUUUUGGUCAUAGAUCCCUUUGGCGGUUUGAUGAAGCCUAUGGAUCCUGUACCAAAAUAACGCUUUUAAGUAAAGGAAACGCUAAAUUUCAGUUAAAAGUGAAUGAACAGAAAGAUGCCAUUUUUCACCCGCCCGAGUUCAUAGACUCCCUGAAAUCUAAGAUCUUCUUGAUCCCAAGUUAAGAACCUUUCUUCCUUAACCAGAAGAAUGCUCUUAACAAGCAACAAGCCUUCUCCAAGUGCUUAUUAUGAAAAGAGCCUUAAAGAGAUAGUGUUUUAGGACACGUAAGACAUUUUGCAAACUUACAUAAAUGUGAGCUAGUAUUGUUAUUAAUCAUGAAGAGUUUAAGUUCAUUUAAAUGUACAUCAUAUUCAUUUCAGUAAAAAUGUUAAAUAUUAAUCUUGUA